rnacentral:rRNA from 1 species
GAUGAACGCUAGCGGCAGGCUUAACACAUGCAAGUCGAGGGGUAGUCUAGCAAUAGAUGAGACCGGCGCACGGGUGCGUAACGCGUAUGCAACCUACCUUUUACAGGGGGAUAGCCCAGAGAAAUUGGGAUUAAUACCCCAUGGUAUAAUUGAAUCGGAUGGUUUAAUUAUUAAAGUUCCAACGGUAAAAGAUGGGCAUGCGUCCUAUUAGCUAGAUGGUAAGGUAACGGCUUACCAUGGCUACGAUAGGUAGGGGUCCUGAGAGGGAGAUCCCCCACACUGGUACUGAGACACGGACUAGACUCCUACGGGAGGCAGCAGUGAGGAAUAUUGGACAAUGGGCGAAAGCCUGAUCCAGCCAUGCCGCGUGCAGGAAGACGGUCCUAUGGAUUGUAAACUGCUUUUGUACGGGAAGAAACACUCCCUCGUGAGGGAGCUUGACGGUACCGUAAGAAUAAGGAUCGGCUAACUCCGUGCCAGCAGCCGCCGUAACAC